rnacentral:rRNA from 1 species
CCUACGGGAGGCAGCAGUGGGGAAUAUUGCGCAAUGCCCGCAAGGGUGACGCAGCGACGCCGCGUGGGUGAAGAAGCUCUACGGAGUGUAAAGCCCUGUCAGAGGGGAAGAACGGCUUGGAUUCGUAAGGGUUCAGGUGUGACGGUACCCUCAGAGGAAGCUCCGGCUAACUCCGUGCCAGCAGCCGCGGUAAU